rnacentral:rRNA from 1 species
GAUGAACGCUGGCGGCGUGCCUAAUACAUGCAAGUCGAGCGAACGGACGAGAAGCUUGCUUCUCUGAUGUUAGCGGCGGACGGGUGAGUAACACGUGGAUAACCUACCUAUAAGACUGGGAUAACUUCGGGAAACCGGAGCUAAUACCGGAUAAGAUUUUGAACCGCAUGGUUCAAAAGUGAAAGACGGUCUUGCUGUCACUUAUAGAUGGAUCCGCGCUGCAUUAGCUGGUUGGGAAGGUAACGGCUUACCAAGGCAACGAUGCAUAGCCGACCUGAGAGGGUGAUCGGCCACCCUGGAACUGGGACACGGUCCAGACUCCUGCGGGACGGAGCAGUCGGGAAUCUUCCGCAGUGGGCGAAAGCCUUACGGAGCAACGCCGCGUGAGUGAUGAAGGUCUUCGGAUCGUAAAGCUCUGUUAUUAGGUAAGAACAUAUGUGUAAGUAACUGUGCACAUCUUGACGGUAACUAGUCAGAAAGCCCCGGCUAACUACGUG